rnacentral:rRNA from 1 species
UAGGGAAUAUUGCAUAAUGGGCGAAAGCCCGAUGCAGCAACGCCGCGUGUGCGAUGAAGGCCUUCGGGUCGUAAAGCACUUUUCGAGAGGAUGAGGAAGGACAGUACUCUCGGAAUAAGCCUCGGCUAACUACGUGCCAGCAGCCGCGGUAAAACGUAGGAGGCGAGCGUUAUCCGGAUUUACUGGGCGUAAAGCGCGUGCAGGCGGUUUGGUAAGUUGGAUGUGAAAGCUCCUGGCUUAACUGGGAGAGGUCGUUCAAUACUGCCAGACUAGAGGACAGUAGAGGAAGGUGGAAUUCCGGGUGUAGUGGUGAAAUGCGUAGAUAUCCGGAGGAACACCAGUGGCGAAAGCGGCCUUCUGGACUGUAUCUGACGCUCAGACGCGAAAGCUAAGGGAGCAAACGGG